rnacentral:rRNA from 1 species
GAUGAACGCUGGCGGCGUGCCUAACACAUACAAGUCGAGCGAUCUCUUCGGAGAGAGCGGCGGACGGGUGAGUAACGCGUGGGUAACCUGCCCUGUACACACGGAUAACAUACCGAAAGGUAUGCUAAUACGGGAUAAUUUAUAAAAGUCGCAUGGCUUUUAUAUCAAAGCUUUUGCGGUACAGGAUGGACCCGCGUCUGAUUAGCUAGUUGGUAAGGUAACGGCUUACCAAGGCGACGAUCAGUAGCCGACCUGAGAGGGUGAUCGGCCACACUGGAACUGAGACACGGUCCAGACUCCUACGGGAGGCAGCAGUGGGGAAUAUUGCACAAUGGGCGAAAGCCUGAUGCAGCAACGCCGCGUGAGCGAUGAAGGCCUUCGGGUCGUAAAGCUCUGUCCUCAAGGAAGAUAAUGACGGUACUUGAGGAGGAAGCCCCGGCUAACUACGUGCCAGCCGCCGCAGUAA